GAAUGAGAUGAUGAUUUAUAUUUCCCUAUUGGUUUGAUUGCCGGGAUGAUGGCACAAUUUGUAUUAGCUCUAUCUGAUCAUUC